GAUGAACGCUGGCGGCGUGCCUAAUACAUGCAAGUCGAGCGAACGGACGAGAAGCUUGCUUCUCUGAUGUUAGCGGCGGAAGGGUGAGUAACACGUGGAUAACCUACCUAUAAGACUGGGAUAACUUCGGGAAACCGUAGCUAAUACCGGAUAAUAUUUUGAACCGCAUGGUUCAAAAGUGAAAGACGGUCUUGCUGUCACUUAUAGAUGGAUCCGCGCUGCAUUAGCUAGUUGGUAAGGUAACGGCUUACCAAGGCAACGAUGCAUAGCCGACCUGAGAGGGUGAUCGGCCACACUGGAACUGAGACACGGGCCAGACUCCUACGGGAGGCAGCAGUAGGGAAUCUUCCGCAAUGGGCGAAAGCCUGACGGAGCAACGCCGCGUGAGUGAUGAAGGUCUUCGGAUCGUAAAACUCUGUUAUUAGGGAAGAACAUAUGUGUAAGUAACUGUGCACAUCAUGACGGUACCUAAUCAGAAAGCCACGGCUAACUACGUG
rnacentral:rRNA from 1 species